rnacentral:misc_RNA from 1 species
CAGCAACAAAAUAAUUGAUAUGGAGAUAGACAUGAUAGGGGGGAAAGAUGUCUGUACAGCCAAUGAGGUUGAAAUGCAGAUAGACAUGACAGGGCAUGAAGAUGCCUCUACACCGAAUAAGGUUGACAUGGAGGGCUAUCAGGAUGAGGUUGAAAUGGAGAUAGACAUGAUAGCUGGAGAAAAUGUAGGUACGCUGGACAUUGUUGUCUCGACAACUACCAGAAACGGUUUUGAUACCUCUAUAAAAGAAACUGUUACUGCUGCUACCUGCAGUGGAUCUCAAUCAGUUACUCCUUUGGUUUCAAG